AUUGAACGCUGGCGGCAGGCUUAACACAUGCAAGUCGAGCGGAGAUGAGGUGCUUGCACCUUAUCUUAGCGGCGGACGGGUGAGUAAUGCUUAGGAAUCUGCCUAUUAGUGGGGGACAACAUUCCGAAAGGAAUGCUAAUACCGCAUACGUCCUACGGGAGAAAGCAGGGGAUCUUCGGACCUUGCGCUAAUGGAUGAGCCUAAGUCGGAUUAGCUAGUUGGUGGGGUAAAGGCCUACCAAGGCGACGAUCUGUAGCGGGUCUGAGAGGAUGAUCCGCCACACUGGGGCUGAGACACGGACCAGACUCCUACGGGAGGCAGCAGUGGGGAAUCUUGGACAAUGGGGGGAACCCUGAUCCAGCCAUGCUGCGUGUGUGAAGAAGGCCUUAUGGUUGUAAAGCACUUUAAGCGAGGAGGAGGCUACUGAGACUAAUACUCUUGGAUAGUGGACGUUACUCGCAGAAUAAGCACCGGCUAACUCUGUGCCAGCCGCCGCGGUAA
rnacentral:rRNA from 1 species